UACGGAGGAUCCUAGUGUUAUCCGGAUUUAUUGGGUUUAAAGGGAGCGUAGGCGGGAGGUCAAGUCAGCUGUGAAAUGUAUCUGCUUAACGGGUACACUGCAGUUGAAACUGGUUUUCUUGAGUGCGUAAGAGGCAGGCGGAAUUCGUUGUGUAGCGGUGAAAUGCUUAGAUAUGACGAGGAACUCCUAUUGUGAAGGCAGCUUGCUGGGUCGUUACUGACGCUGAUGCUCGAAGGUGCGGGGAUCAAACAGGAUUAGAUA
rnacentral:rRNA from 1 species